CGUAGAUAUUAUGCGUAGAUUUUAAAGUAUCCUUCCAGAUUUUAACUCGUGAACCAGCAAAGAAAAGUUCAAGUUAUGUAGAACUCAAAGAAAAGGCCAGUUUCUUCCAAGCAGAUAAAGCUGCAUAUCUAUCCUUUUAAGAUCUGGAUAAAAAGGUGUAUGUUCAAAGUAGAUAGGAUGCUGAGCAGAGGAUGGCCCUGUGAUGAAGUCUGCUCCUUUUGCGACAAAACCAUUGAAAGUGCUGCCUGCCUCACCCUAUCUCCUUUUGCGAGCUCGAGUCUACCAACCUGGAGAUGAUGAGAAUAUAAGGUUAGGAAUCAAACAUCAAGAAAUGAUGGAAGUAAGUUGUGGUCAUGGCCAAUUCCAAAGAUAGCAAGCACCUAGCCACAAAUGCUAUGUAUGUUGCCUCGCACUUAUGGAAGGAAAGAACCGUAGGAUGUUUGAGGGAAAAUAUGCUAAUGCCAUGGUGGUAUCCGAGUUGAUGAACGAAGAUAUCUGCCUCCUGAACGACGUGACGAUUUUUUUUGUCAGCUGCACAACAAACGCUUUGCUUAUUGAUUUAAUAUUUCUGUUUUUUCCUCCUGCUAGCUAAAUGUGCAAAUAUAAACAGAUAUAUAUUGCUUAUUUAUUUAAAAUUCUCAACAAAAAUGUGCAAACCACAAACCGAACCACUUCACAUGGGAUUAAUAGAGCGAGGGGCAGGGAGAUUACCUGAACACUGUACUUGAUAACGAUGCCGACGAGCGUUCCCAUCCUGUACGCGGCAAGCUUGUCCAUCCUGUACGCCUCGUCUCGUGCUCGUGCAUCGCUGCCUCUCCACCACGCUGCCCUCCAGUCUCGCCGCAAGCUCCUUCAACCUCGUCCGCAUGCGGGAAUGCGCGGCUGCUUCCUCCUCUGCCAGCUCCUCCGGCCUCGUGCCCAUGAGGAAGACACAUGUUGCUGCCUCCACUUCCAGAGGGCCGCCCUAUUCCCAUCUAUCAGCUUCGUCGGCCUCAUCCCCAAGUGGAAGACGCGACCUGUUGCCUCCUCCUUCCGCGCGUCGGCGUUCGCCAUGGCCGGCAUCUGAGGGUAGGGGAGGUCGGCCUGGAGGUCUCAUCCUAUGCACAAGGCGGCGGGCAGCCGGAGCUCGGUGGAUCAGAUAUGGCGAGGGGCGAUGGGAGGAGGAAGAGUCUGGAGAGGUCGAGACGGAGCUGAGUGAGGUAGUAGCAGACUAGCUAGGAGCUAGCUGGUUUUUUUUCCUGAGGUAAGUAGCAACGCUGGUUCAGUGUUCGUGAAGUCAUUUCCUUUACUUUUCUACUAUGGACGCUUCGGUGGAUGAUCGGCCGAGAGAGAAAGAUACCAGAAAAGCGCUCAAACUAGAGCCUUUUUCGUUGAAGACAGACAAUACUUAAUUUUUGUUUUUUAUAUUAUAUCGUAUUUCAUCAUCUUAUUUAGCUUAAAAUUAGCUAUGUGUCGUUACAAGCUGAGUACAUGCCAUUUUCUAUUACUCGACUUUGAACUUUACUUUGU
rnacentral:lncRNA from 1 species